GGACGCAGGAAGUAGUGCAAUCAACCCAAGAUGGAGGUUGGAGCUGACAAGAAGGCAGCGGUUGCUUUAACUAAACACUCCUACUGGUUCGACUUUUGGGUUUUUCUGCUAUUCGACAUCGCCUUUUUUUUCUUCGUGUACUUUGUUGUUCCAUAAACGAAACCUGGGUGUCAUGGAAGGACCAGAGACUGUGGCUCAUCUGGACAGGAGAUGAUGGCUUUCUCAUACCUGGGUCCUGUGUGUGUGGAUUCAGCCGAGCUCCACCUGUCACCAGGAUACUGAAAGUGCACCACCAUGUCCCUGCUGAGUCCAACGCACUACAGCUUUAAAACAUGUCCCUAACAUUCCAUUACAGGCUCUAAUGCCCUGCACAGAACACUGAUUAAUAAAACCGGCUAAUUUAUUUUUGUAUAUUUUGCCUGUUAAUAAUCAAAAUGUGUUUGUGAGCACAUAGUGAUUAUCAGAGUGAAUGAGAUGUAAUAAACUGAAGUAAAUAAAAUUCAUUAAGCUAUUUUUCAA